AAACUGCGAUAAGUAGUGUGAAUUGCAUUUAGUGAAUCAUCGAAUCUUUGAACGCACCCUGCACUCACUGGUAUUCCGGUGAGUACGCCUGUUUCAGUAUCAUUGAAAACACACAAUCAAAACAUUUUCUUUGGUUUGAUUGGCUUUGGGUCUAUCAAAAAGUUUGGCUUGUUUCUUACAAGCCAAGCGGCCUGAAAUAUAUUGUCUGGCUAAUUGCAUCGUUGAUGAUCGCUAUUAGACUUUGGCUUUUUUAAAUGAACUGGAGGUUGAUUAACCAGUUUUAGCUUUAGUCAAAUGGUCAUUGUAAAAAAAAUCUCGAUCUUGGCUAGGUGUUUAUAGCCGAAAAUUUUUUUUUGGCUAUAACCGAAACCAAUAUAAUCACGUUUAGUUAUCGAUCUGAAAUCAGGUGGGACUACCCGCUGAACUUAAGC
rnacentral:misc_RNA from 1 species